GGAAUCUUGCGCAAUGGGCGAAAGCCUGACGCAGCGACGCCGCGUGGGGGAUGAAGCUUUUCGGAGUGUAAACCCCUUUCGACUGGGAAGAAUGCCCGCAAGGGAGCGACGGUACCAGUAGAAGAAGCCCCGGCUAACUACGUGCCAGCAGCCGCGGUAAGACGUAGGGGGCCAGCGUUGUUCGGAAUUACUGGGUGUAAAGGGUUCGUAGGCGGUGCGGCAAGUUGGGAGUGAAAUCUCUGGGCUUAACCCAGAGGCUGCUUCCAAAACUGCUGUGCUUGAGUGUGAGAGAGGCUCGUGGAAUUGCAGGUGUAGCGGUGAAAUGCGUAGAUAUCUGCAGGAACACCCGUGGCGAAAGCGGCGAGCUGGAUCACAACUGACGCUGAGGAACGAAAGCUAGGGGAGCAAACA
rnacentral:rRNA from 1 species